rfam:Schistosoma rodhaini strain Burundi genome assembly, scaffold: SROB_scaffold0004219
AUCCAGCUGACGAGUCCCAAAUAGGACGAAGUGACGUGCGUCCUGGAU